UACAGAGGGGGCAAGCGUUGUUCGGAAUUACUGGGCGUAAAGGGCGCGUAGGCGGCCUGCUAAGUCGAACGUGAAAUCCCUGGGCUCAACCCAGGAACUGCGUCCGAUACUGGUUGGCUUGAAUCCGGGAGAGGGAUGUGGAAUUCCAGGUGUAGCAGUGAAAUGCGUAGAUAUCUGGAGGAACACCGGUGGCGAAGGCGGCAUCCUGGACCGGCAUUGACGCUGAGGCGCGAAAGCCAGGGGAGCAAACGGG
rnacentral:rRNA from 1 species